AAGGAUCAUUAAAUAAUUUAGAUGGCCUUUGCUAGUUUUCUAGCGAAUGGUUCAUUCUUUUUUACUGUGAACUGUUUUAAUUUUUCAGCGUCUGAGGAAUGUCUUUUAGCCAUAGGGAUAGGCUACUAGAAUGUUAACCGAGCUGAAAGUCAGGCUUAGGCCUGGUAUCCUAUUAAUUAUUUACCAAAAGAAUUCAGUAUUAUAAUUGUAACAUAAGCGUAAAAAACUUAUAAAACAACUUUUAACAACGGAUCUCUUGGUUCUCGCAUCGAUGAAGAACGUAGCAAAGUGCGAUAACUAGUGUGAAUUGCAUAUUCAGUGAAUCAUCGAGUCUUUGAACGCAACUUGCGCUCAAUGGUAUUCCAUUGAGCACGCCUGUUUCAGUAUCAAAAACACCCCACAUUCAUAAUUUUGUUGUGAAUGGAAAUGAGAGUUUCGGCUUUAUUGCUGAAUUCUUUAAAAUUAUUAGGCCUGAACUAUUGUUCUUUCUGCCUGAACAUUUUUUUAAUAUAAAGGAAUGCUCUAGUAAAAAGACUAUCUCUGGGGCCUCCCAAAUAAAUCAUUCUUAAAUUUGAUCUGAAAUCAGGCGGGAUUACCCGCUGAACUUAAGCAUAUCA
rnacentral:rRNA from 1 species